rnacentral:rRNA from 1 species
UGCCAGACUCCUACGGGAGGCAGCAGUGGGGAAUAUUGCACAAUGGGGGAAACCCUGAUGCAGCGACGCCGCGUGAGUGAAGAAGUAUUUCGGUAUGUAAAGAUCUAUCAGCAGGGAAGAAAAUGACGGUACCUGACCAAGAAGCCCCGGCUAACUACGUGCCAGCAGCCGCGGUAAUACGUAGGGGGCAAGCGUUAUCCGGAUUUACUGGGUGUAAAGGGAGCGUAGACGGUUGUGCAAGUCAGAAGUGAAAGCCCGGGGCUCAACUCCGGGACUGCUUUUGAAACUGUGAAACUGGAGUGCAGGAGAGGUAAGCGGAAUUCCUGGUGUAGCGGUGAAAUGCGUAGAUAUCAGGAGGAACACCAGUGGCGAAGGCGGCUUACUGGACUGUAACUGACGUUGAGGCUCGAAAGCGUGGGGAGCACACAGGAUUAGAUACCCCCGUAA